CUCCAUAUCGGCGGUGGAAACUGAUGAACUGGAGGGUGGUAGGGGUCACGGGAAUUCCCAGUGUAGCGGUGAAAUGCGUAGAUAUUGGGAAGAACACCAGCGGCGAAAGCGCGUGACUGGGCCAUUACUGACACUCAUGGACGAAAGCUAGGGGAGCGAAAGGGAUUAGAUACCCCUGUAGUCCUAGCCGUAAACGAUGGACACUAGGUGUUGCCCGAUCGACCCGGGCAGUGCCGUAGCUAACGCGUUAAGUGUCCCGCCUGGGGAGUACGCACGCAAGUGUGAAACUCAAAGGAAUUGACGGGGGCCCGCACAAGCGGUGGAGUAUGUGCGUUAAUUCGAUGCAACGCGAAGAACCUUACCAGGGCUUGACAUGUCGCGAAUCCCCUUGAAAGGGGGGAGUGCCUUCGGGAGCGCGAGCACAGGUGGUGCAUGGCUGUCGUCAGCUCGUGUCGUGAGAUGUUGGGUUAAGUCCCGCAACGAGCGCAACCCACGUUUCUAGUUGCCAGCAUUCAGUUGGGCACUUUAGAGAGACUGCCGGUGACAAACCGGAGGAAGGUGUGGAUGACGUCAAGUCAGCAUGCCCCUUACGUCCUGGGCUACACACGUACUACAAUGCUUCGGACAGAGGGUUGCCAGCCCGCGAGGGUGCGCUAAUCCCGUAAACCGAGGCUCAGUUCAGAUUGCAGGCUGCAACUCGCCUGCAUGAAGGCGGAAUCGCUAGUAAUCGCCGGUCAGCAUACGGCGGUGAUACGUUCCCGGGCGUUGUACACACCGCCCGUCACACCAUGGGAGUUGGCCACGCCCGAAGUUGUUACC
rnacentral:rRNA from 1 species